rnacentral:rRNA from 1 species
GCUUAACACAUGCAAGUCGAACGGAACCUUCGGGUUUAGUGGCGAACGGGUGAGUAAUGCGCAGGUAAUCUGCCGCAAAGUCGGGGACAACGUUUCGAAAGAGACGCUAAUACCGGAUGUUGUACAAACUUCGCAUGGAGCUUGUACUAAAGAUUUAUCGCUUUGCGAGGAGCCUGCGUCCGAUUAGCUAGUUGGUAGUGUAAGAGACUACCAAGGCGACGAUCGGUAGCCGGUCUGAGAGGAUGAACGGCCACAAUGGAACUGAGACACGGUCCAUACUCCUACGGGAGGCAGCAGUGGGGAAUAUUCCACAAUGGGGGAAACCUUGAUGGAGCGACGCCGCGUGAGUGAAGAAGGGCUUCGGCUCGUAAAGCUCUUUUAUCUCGGACGAAUGACCUAUUAGAUAGGUAGAGACGGUACGGGGUGAAUAAGCCACGGCUAACUACGUGCCAGCAGCCGCGGUAAUAUGUAGGUGGCAAGCGUUGUCCGGAAUUAUUGGGCGUAAAGGGAGCGCAGGCGGGUUUGCAAGUCUCACUUAAAAGUUCAGGAGUAAUGUCUGUGAUGGGUGGGAAACUG